rnacentral:lncRNA from 1 species
AUGGGAUGCACUGAUGUGUGUAAGGGGGAGGGGUGGAGAGAGAGGGAGAUGAGAGCUGAGAAUAAAGGGAAGAAAAAAAAAAUGGGGUCAGUGAAUUUCCAGGCUCUGCAGCAGGGAGGUUUGGCAGCUCUGGCUCCUAAGGAAGCCAGGCCUUGUGAUUCAUCACAGACCAGAUUCCUGCUGACUUCAAAGGGAGAUGUUCAGGAGGAGAAGAUGCCAGCAUCCAGGAGGGAGUUCUUUUCCAGAAGGUUUAAAAUAUACCUUCCUUUGUGGAGAAGCCAUGAUGAGGGGCUGCAGGCCACACUUAUGCUCCAACCUAGUGAAGAAGGAAAAGCAGUACAGGUAAGUAUAAGGACGCUGAUGGUGAUAACUUUGGGACCAGUCUGUGUAUGUUGUCAUCCAUAAAAGGUGCUAGCAAUCCAAGAGGUUUUGAGAGGACAUUUGCACAACGCGAAAGUUAAAAUAAAGUUGCAAAAUUCAAGACUGGCUUCCAAGCAAAGCAUUAUGCUGAAAGUGCUUAGGUUUACCAGGUGAGAAAACUGAGGCUGAAAGAGGUUAAAACUUCUCACAGCUGGUGAAGGAAUUCAUUUAAAUCCAUGGGCCUAUCGUCCUCACUCUUCUGUAUUAGUUGACGAAGGCCAUCUUCUACAGAAAACCAUCUACGUCCUUCUUUUCAUGUGCUCUGUGCUCUAAAUUAGCCUACUGUUCCCCUACCGUCUCUUUUCUAACAGCUUACUCCGCGUUCUAUCUCUAGCUUUACCAGACUCUCUGUAACCCCCCUUUAUCUCUCAUCCGUCAUCUCCCUUGAGCUCUCACUUAGCCUGUUCUAACGCGAAAGGCUUGGGCCUUUCCCAGGGCUUCCCCCAAUCUCAUCCCUCCAGCAUUAGGUGGGGCUUAAAGGGCAAUGACUGCCCCGGACUCCAUACCUCUCUGACAUCUCUUGAUGUUGAUAUUAUUACCCGGGUUUGCUGGUCUUUUUUCUGGUGGUCAUUUUGGAGGCAGAGAGGAAGGCUAAAACAGAAAGACUUUCAUGCCUUAUGUCAGCCUUUUCAGUAUCCUUACCACUGGUGGUUUGGGAAACAUUUUUAGUGGUAUGAGGGCAACUAUUUUGUUUCAAUAGUUAUUUUUACAGAUACCUUCUAUCUUUGGUAAUGAAUGCUGAUUUUCCAUUUACGGUUACAAUGUAAUGCUCUUUUUUUUUUUUUUCUAUUUCUAUAACAUCUAUUUUUUAAUUUAUUUUUUAAUUGGAGUAUAAUUGCUCUACAAUUUUGUGUUAGUUUCUUCUGUACAACAACGUGAAUCAGCUCUCUGUACACAUAAACCCCACCU